AUUGAACGCUGGCGGCAGGCCUAACACAUGCAAGUCGAGCGGAUGAGUGGAGCUUGCUCCAUGAUUCAGCGGCGGACGGGUGAGUAAUGCCUAGGAAUCUGCCUAUUAGUGGGGGACAACGUUUCGAAAGGAACGCUAAUACCGCAUACGUCCUACGGGAGAAAGCAGGGGGACCUUCGGGCCUUGCGCUAAUAGAUGAG
rnacentral:rRNA from 1 species